GGUAAUUUGACCGUGCAAAGGUAGCAUAAUCAUUAGUUUUUUAAUUGAAAGCUGGAAUGAAAGGUUGGAUGAGAAAGAAGCUGUCUCUGUUUAAUUUAUUUAGAAUUUUAUUUUUAAGUUAAAAAGCUUAAAUUUAAAUAGAAGACGAGAAGACCCUAUAGAGUUUUAUUAUUUUUUUUUAUAAAAAUAAUAGUAUUUUUUAAUUUUAUAAAUAAAAUUAAUUUAGUUGGGGUGAUUAAAAAAUUAAAUUAACUUUUUUUUUAUAAAUACAUUUAUAUAUGAUUAUUUGAUCCUUAAUUUGAGAUUAAAAGAUAAAAUUACCUUAGGGAUAACAGCGUAAUUUUUUUUGAGAGUUCAAAUCGAAAAAAAAGAUUGCGACCUCGAUGUUGGAUUAAAAUAAAAUUUUGGUGUAGAAGCUAAAA
rnacentral:rRNA from 1 species